rnacentral:tRNA from 1 species
UGAGGGGUCGUCUAACGGUAGGACAUCAGACUCUGGCUCUGAUUAUUGAGGUUCGAAUCCUCGCCCCUCAGCCA